AUGGAGGUGACGGCGGUGAGUGUGGGCAAGGCCGCUCUAGGCGGGGCACUGGGCUAUGCCACGUCCAAGGCGGCGGAGGAAAUCGCCCUACAGCUUGGUGUCGAGCGCGAUGUGAACUUCAUCAAGGACGAGUUGCAGAUGAUGCAGUCGUGCCUGAUGACUGCUGAUGAGGAGCAAAGCAAGAACAAGGUGCUCACGACCUGGGUGAAACAGAUCGGGGUCCUGGCUUACAAAGUUGAGGACAGCCUCAUGGAUUUUGGCCUUCAUUCGGAGAAAAAACCAUUUUGGGGUUGCAUCCCCCGAAACCCAGGUGAUCGACGCCGCACCAUUAAGGAGGUGAAAGAGCUGAGGGCUGAGGUGGAGGACCUGAGCAACAGGAACCUGCGCUAUCGCCUCAUCAAGGAGAGCUCAGGCUCCAAGCCUACUGCAGCAGAGGAGCAGGCCAGCGUUGCCACUGCUGCAAUGUUUGGCAUCAACGAAGCAAGACUUGCCACCUUGGAGCAUGAAAAAUCAUCAGAGGUGGACCUCCAUCAGUUGAUUACCAGCAAGGAUGUUGACCUUAGGGUGAUUGCCAUGUGGGGAACCAGCGGUGAUAUUGGCAAGGCAUCCGCCAUCCAGGAGGUUUAUGAUGACCCAAAGGUAUUGAAAAUGUUCGGAUUCUGUGCUUGGGUUACGUUGAUUCAUCCUUUCAGUCCACAAGAGUUCCUGCGGAGCUUGGUCAGGCAAUUCUAUGAAAGUUCCAAUGAUGAGGUUGGAAAGGCAGAACAAGUAACAAGUGUAGGGGCUAAUGUUCUGGCAAAGAUGGAGAUGAUGAAUCAAAGUGAUUUAGUCAGUGUUUUUAAUAAGGUGUUGUGUAGCAAUAGCUAUCUGAUUGUGAUUGAUGACCUAUCCACAAUAGUGGAAUGGCAUUGCAUUAAGAAGUACUUUCCUGACAACAAGAAACAAAGUAGAAUCGUCGUUUCCACGCAGCAAGCUGAAAUUGCAAGCUUGUGCACAGAUAAACCAUAUCAAGUUUCGGAGUUAAAGAAGUUGUCAUGUGAUCAAACUAUUUAUUUGUUCCACAAGAAGAAUUCAGAACAUCAGAUCAGCAUGGACGGUGUUCGUGUGGCAAUGUAUGACACCAACGAGGAAGCAAGGUUUGCUGUGGUGGAGGAGAAACCGGAGGCUAUGCAUGCAUCAUGUUCUGCCGAGCCCGUUUCCGACUCAAAUAGAGUUACUACUUCCGAGAAAGAUACAUCCUUGCCCAUCAGUGAAAUACAGGAGGAACACCAAGAACCUAAUAAUGUAGGUGAAGAAAAUGUUCAUAACUCAACUGCUAGAAAGAAGUUUGAUCGCAGCAGGACACUGGCACUGACUGAUGAACUGCUCUGUGGGCGAGGAACAGAGAAAUCAUUUGUUAUCAAGUUAGUUGGCCAACCAGAUCUCAAUCAAGGCCGCAAGGUGAUCUCAGUUUGGGGAAUGGGGGGUCUUGGAAAAACCACUCUUGUCCGAAGCAUCUAUCAUAACCAAGAGCUUGGUGGCUGGAAGCGUGCUUGGGCCACUGUAUUGCGUCCUUUUAACCCUGAAGUACUCCUUAGAGAUUUGGCUUUGCAGCUUCAAAGUACUGUUCAAGAAGAUCCUGCUGGAGCAACAGGAAUUGGACUGCAAAAGAAAAGAAUAGCAAUGAUGAAUCUUCAAGAGUUGAAGCAGGAGCUAGCUCGGCUACUAGCGUUAAAGAAGUGCCUUAUUGUUCUUGAUGAUAUAUCAUUCACUGUUGAAUGGGAGUUGGUCAAACAGUGUUUAGGUAAUGCUGAACGGAUCAUAAUCACCACAAGAGAAAAAAAUAUCGCCAAACAUUGUUCAAGGGAAGACGAGAACAUGUACUGUCUUCAAGUUCUGAAGUAUGAUGUGGCAUUUGACCUGUUCAUAAAGAAGGUAUUCAAACACAAUACUGUAAAAAUUGAUUUAGCCCCAGCUAUGAUGGAGCAAGCAAGAUUUACCCUGCAGAAAUGUGGUGGACUUCCCCUUGCAAUAACGACCAUCGGUGGAUUCCUAGCCACUAGGCCAAAAACUGCUAUUGAAUGGAGAAAGAUGAAUGACUGUAUCAGCACUGAGCUGGAGAUAAAUCCUGAACUUAUGACAAUAAAGUCAAUUCUUAUGAGGAGCUACGAUGGCUUACCAUACCAUCUCAAGUCUGCAUUUUUGUACCUGUCCAUAUUUCCAGAAGACCACAAAAUUAGGUGGGGUCGCUUGAUGAGGCGGUGGAUUGCAGAGGGUUACUCAAAGGAUUUACAUGAUAUCACUGCAGUUGAACUUUGUCAGAGGUACUUUGAUGAGCUCUUGGAUAGGAGUAUGAUCCUGCCGGGGGAAGGGAUAGACCAAUACAAACAGAAAAUCAGUUCUUGCCAACUUCAUGAUAUGAUCCGGGAAAUAUGCAUCGCAAAGGCUAGGGAGGAAAACCUUGUUUUGUCACUGGAGGGAGGAUGUUGUUUGAGCGAAACACAAGGUGCAAUACGUCAUCUUGUCAUAGGAAGCAACUGGAAAAGGGAUAAACAUGUGUUGGAGAGCAUGCUAGACCUGUCACAUGUACGUUCAUUGACUGUGUUUGGAGAGUGGAGAUCGUUUUUCAUCUCCGAUAAUAUGAGGUUCCUCCGAGUGCUUGACUUAGAAGACACAGUGGGGUUAAGAGAUCAUCAUCUUGAUGAAAUUGGGCAGCUCUGUCACCUCAAGUACCUUUCUCUUCGAGGAUGUUGCAACAUAUUAUGCCUGCCUAAUUCUUUCCGGAAUUUGAGGCACCUCGAAACACUGGAUCUUAGAGGUACACAUAUAUCUGAGUUGCCAAGAAUAAUCACCAAUCUUUGGAAGCUACAACACCUUCAUGCAGAUGGUUAUUUUGACCGUUUGGUUGUUAUGGGAGAGGAUGACAUAGUUGAUAAGUAUGAAGGUUACAUUAAUCGUAUAUCCUCAUGUCAAACAUGCAGUGUUUUAUUGUCCAAAGGUCAUAUUUUCUCAAGACCACAAGUUUUAGAUGCUGGUUUGAACAGAUAUGAUAUAUUCAAUCUAUACCGCUUCCAGGAGAUGAAACUAGAUGGUAUUACACUUCCUAGAGGGAUUGGUAAAUUGAAGGCUCUCCAUGCACUAGGUGUUGUCGAUGUUUCAGGGAGAAACAGAAAUGCCACUCUGAAAGAGCUCGGAAUGCUUACUCAGCUACGUAAGCUUAAAGUAGGUGGUGCGAGCUACAGAAACGUCAGUGAGUUAUGGUCUGCCAUUGCUGGUCAUGAUCAACUACAGUCUUUGUCAGUUGAAACACGUUUCCCGCAUAAACAGAGGAAUGAGGUAGAUGGCUGUUUGGGUGAAGGUUUGUUGCCACCAAGCAGCCUCAAGAGCCUCAAGCUGGUUGGCAAGCUAGUCAAUGUAACAGAAUGGAUCCAUAAGCUUCAGAAUCUGACCAAGUUGGUGCUGAGUUAUAGCAUGUUGGAGCAAGAUGAUGCCAUACAAGCCCUCGGGGUGCUACCAAAUAUAGCGGUUCUAUGCCUAAGGAUUUGUUCGUUCAAUGGGACAGAACUCCAUUUCCAGAGAUCCUCUUUCCCGAGCCUCAUGGUGCUGGUGCUCCGGAACUUAGAGAACCUCCAGUCGGUUAUGUUCGAAGAAGACGCGGUGCCUAAGCUCGAGCUGCUUCAAGUUGAUUGCGGCUCAUCAUUGAAGGACAUCUCUGGGCUGGCAGCCCUCAAAAGCCUUAAGGAAAUUCGGUUGGAUGCCCGUAAAAGUGUGGAGGAGGUGGUGCAAGGGCAGGUAGCGGAGCAUAUGAAUCAUGUCAGAGUGAAUAUUGUUCGCUAA
rnacentral:rRNA from 1 species